GCAGCACCGGCGCGGCGGGCGGGCGGGCGGCUCUCCGUCCCGGCCGAGGCCUCCUGCUGCAAGCCCGGCUGGGCCGCUGCUGCCUGAGUGCCCCAAGGGGUGCUGCCGGAGAAGCCCGCUGCACCUGCUUCAGUGCUCAGGAACUAGAGAGGCAGCAUUUCGUCUGCGUCUGGUACUGCAAAUCACAGAGAAACCCUGACCAGCUGCGGGAAGAAGAGCAGCCCUGGCACCAAAGCUUAAUAGUAACUUGGCCAUCUCAGAGCCCGAAGCUCUGACAAUGAUUUUCCAACGUCCAUUGUAGUUUGCCCAGAAUCACAGAAGAACUCAGAUUUAUUGGGGAGCAGGAUGUACUGCUCCCAUGUCCCAUCUUUUAUUCAUGACAUACGACUCUUCUUUCUCCCUGUGGCAGUAUUUCUGGUUCUGACUCCUGCUCCUGGUUUUGGAAAAAGGACUGCCACAGACAACCUGCUGUGCCCAUUCAUCUUCCUGAGGGCUUCUGGAGGCCCUUGCACAACAUCCUGCCGGAAGUGUGAAAACACAAAACUCCUUCUGUGCAAGGGCCCUGGAAACAUUAUGGUAACUGUUAAGACUGCAUAAGGAAAGUUACUGCUCAUCAACAGCUGGAAUUUUCCUCAGUCCUACUGCUCAGAAACAAAGAAAUACAAUGUAGUUCUUAAAAAAAAAAAAAAAAAAAAAAGUGCGCUAACACCUUUA